UACAGAGGUCUCGAGCGUUAGGCGGAAUCACUGGGCUUAAAGCGUGUGUAGGCGGAUCGUUAAGUGCCUUGUGAAAUCCCACGGCUCAACCGUGGAACUGCUCGGCAUACUGGCGGUCUUGAGCAACCUAGGGGCGAGCGGAACAAAUGGUGGAGCGGUGAAAUGCGUAGAUAUCAUUUGGAACGCCAAUGGUGAAAACAGGUCGCUGGGGAUGUGCUGACGCUGAGACACGAAAGCCAGGGGAGCAAACGGG
rnacentral:rRNA from 1 species